ensembl:lncRNA ARLNC1 androgen receptor regulated long noncoding RNA 1
ACUGUUCAGCUCCCAGUUAUCCAUGAGAACAGGGUCUCCUGGAUCCAGCCCCAAGUCUCAUCUUUCCUCUUAUUUGUCCACCAUUUUGCUUGAUCCAUAUGGUUUUCAGGUGCUGGUUCCAUGGCUCUUCCUGAGCCGAAAAUAAGGAAACUCCAUAGACCUUGUCCACUGGAACUCGUUCCCAUCUACCCUCCACUCUAUCCAGGGUGAUGGAUCUCUGCAGAAAGAACCCAUAGAAACACAAGGAAGAAGGUCAUGUGAAGAUGGAGGCAGAGAUUGGAGGGAUGCAGCCACCGGCCCAGGAAUGCCAGCAGCCACCCAGAAGCUGGAAGGAAAUGAGGGAUUCUCUCCUAGAACCUUUAGAGAGAACAUGGUCCUGUGAACAGCUUGAUUUUGGACUUGCCCAUAGCUUGUAUACUCUUACUUUGGAUACAAUUUUAUCCAAACUUGGCUAAACAGUUUCUCAGCCUAUGGAAAAUUUAAAAUGGAGAAGAUUCAACUCGAUUCUUACAGAUUCAAAGCAAGAAAAUGAUGGGAACAUAGGAGGAGACCAAGAAAGCCUAUAAAAAGCAAAAAUAUGAAGUGAACAUUGUGGUAGCUUUAAGAUGUUUAGUGUAGCUGCAGGCACCCUAUACACAUGAAAACCCCCAAGGGGAAUCCCCAUAUCACAGUGUAGUGUGAUAUUUGACAUUCGUGAUCAUCUAGAGAUGUACAGAAAAGGUGAAUCUGUGUUCUGUAUAUUCUGCCUAAGGCAAAGAAAUGUUUAGCUCUCUUUAAAAUAGUUCCAUAAUUUUUUCUAAAAAGCUUUGCUUGAAAACUGUAAGCUUCCCAUAUCUGGAGCAUUUCACUUUAAAUAUUUGGAUAAAUAUGUUAUCUUCUUACUUGGACAUUUCAUGUGUUUAGGGAUUGUCUUCUAAAUUCUUCCUAAUUCAUAUAGCUGCUAACACUUCCCGCAGAGCUAAACCAUUACAGAUAUGAAAUAAAGACCUAUUGAUUUGAC